rnacentral:rRNA from 1 species
GACGAACGCUGGCGGCGUGCUUAACACAUGCAAGUCGAACGGAAAGGCCCCUUUGGGGGUACUCGAGUGGCGAACGGGUGAGUAACACGUGAGUAACCUGCCCUUGACUUCGGGAUAUCUUAAGGAAACUGGGGCUAAUACCGGAUAGGAAUCCUUGCAGCAUGGUAGGGGUUGGAAAGCUUCGGAGGUUUUGGAUGGACUCGCGGCUUAUCAGCCUGUUGGUGGGGUAGUGGCUGACCAAGGCUUUGACGGGUAGCCGGCCGGAGGGGGCGACCGGCCACAAUAAGACUGAGAAGCUGCCCAGACUACUACGGGAGGCAGCAGUAGUGAAUAAUGCACGACGGGCGGGAGCCUGAUGCAGCAGCGCCGCUGGCGGGAUGACGGCCGUCGGGGUAUAAUCCGCUGUCAGCAGGAGCGAAGCAUGUAGUGACGGUACCUGCAGAAGAAGCACCGGCUAACUACGUG